GAAUAAAGGUUUGCUCUUGUGGUACUGAACGCUGACGGUACUUUGAACGGACCACGGCUGGUGGCAACAUCAGCUGAUUCGAGGUUUAGUCCGUGGCGGAUUAGUAGCUUCACGGCGAACGUCUAAAGCGGACUGAGUCUCUGGGAAGGGAGAGGUAUCGUAUGUCCUGCAUGCUGCGGUGUGUAGGACGCAUGGCGUUCAAUUAAGUGCCGGUCAAGAACAGAUUGAGUCUCGGGGAAUCCGACUGUUUAAUUAAAACAAAGCAAAGAGACAAACUCAGAGAGUUUUUUUCCUCUUUGUGAUUUCUGCCCAGUGCCUUGAAUGUCAAAGCGAAGAGAUUCGAGUAAGCACAGGUUAACGGCGGAAGUAACUAUGACUUUCUUAAGGUAGCCAAAUGCCUCGUCAUUUAAUUUGUGACGCGCAUGAAUGGAUCAAUGAGAUUCCUACUGUCCCUACUCGCGAUCUAGCGAACCUACAGCUAAGGGAACGGGCUUAGGUGUAAUUGCGGGGAAAGAAGACCCUGUUGAGCUUGACUCUAGUCUGAUUUUGUGAAGUAACGUAAAGGACAUAGUGUAGGAGGGAGCUUCGGUGCCAAUGAAACACCUCUACCUUUAAUUGUUACUUCACUCACUUUAUUAACACACAACCCUCUUCGGAGGGUUUUCUAGAUGAAACCUUGGACUUCGGUUCGAGGGAGUGUUUAGAUACUGGACAUAAUCAGCUGGGGAGUUUGGCUGGGGCGGCACAUUU
rnacentral:rRNA from 1 species